rnacentral:rRNA from 1 species
UACAGAGACUGCAAGCGUUAUUCGGAUUCACUGGGCGUAAAGGGUGCGCAGGCGGUUGGGUGUGUCAGAUGUGAAAUCCCGAGGCUCAACCUCGGAACUGCGUCUGAAACUACUCGACUAGAGUACUGGAGAGGGUAACGGAAUUCACGGUGUAGCAGUGAAAUGCGUAGAUAUCGUGAGGAACACCAGAGGCGAAGGCGGUUACCUGGACAGUUACUGACGCUCAGGCACGAAAGCUAGGGGAGCAAACAGG